GUUGGAGACGUAUCCGGAAGUCGAGCGACAAAAGGCAGGAUGCUUUAUAACUGAGCAUUUCCUAAUAAUAUUAACUUAUUUAGAUCUAAUAAAUAAGCACGUGCUAGUUAUUUAAAUAAAAUAUGACGCUGCGUCAAAGAGCUUAAAUCUUGCAAUUUUGGAAGUGAAACUCUUUAGGCACAAUACCCUGAACACUAUUUAGGCUACUGAAAAGUUUCUUCAGUAACAGAGCUGUGGCGAUGGAGCAGCAGAAUGUAGUGGAGGCGGCUGGAGAGAGGGAGUCAGAUGCGGCAGAUGUGAUCGCGGAGCAGCCGUCCCUCUCUUUUCCAGAGGUGUUCCGCAUGAUUCAAGCAGGAGAGGAGGUUCCUGGACUCCAAAAGCUGGACAUCAAACCUUGUAAUGUACAGCCCACGGUUUCUCAAAUGCCCAGAAAGUCUAAACCAUGGGAAAAAUGAUUGCUUCCUAAUUCUAAAUUGUGGACUGAUUUACAACAUAUUUUGCUUUUAUUCAAGUCACAAAUUAAGUACUUUUUUUUUUUUCAAGUAAAUUAUUUUAAUACAUAGCAAAAGCGGGAUGCUGAAUGGAAAAUAAAGCAUGCCUAACUUUUUCUGAUUUUGCAUCAAAAGCUGCCUGAAGAUGGUGGUAUUUGCAGCUCAACAGCUUUGGCCAGUUAAGACAAACCCAAAGCCUCUCAUGACUGUCAAGUGGUUCAUCAUGGUCUCAUGUGCUUGUGAAAGGGAAAUACAAAAGGUUGACACACAUCCUGCUUCAGAGCUUAUUAGAGGAAGUGAACUUCACUCACAACUGGUCAACUAGCAGUCAAAUGUACAGAUCAGAAACUAGAUAACGCAUACCCGACUGCUGUAUUUUAUUUUUUUUAACUACAGAAUGAAUGGAUCAGAAUAGUUUGCUUAUGUUUUAAUAAAAGUUUAGUCACUGGCAA